rnacentral:rRNA from 1 species
UACAGAGGGUGCGAGCGUUAAUCGGAAUUACUGGGCGUAAAGCGCACGUAGGCGGCUUGGUAUGUCGGGUGUGAAAUCCCCCGGGCUCAACCUGGGAACUGCAUCCGAAACUGCCUUGCUCGAGUAUGGGAGAGGGAAGUGGAAUUUCCGGUGUAGCGGUGAAAUGCGUAGAUAUCGGAAGGAACAUCAGUGGCGAAGGCGACUUCCUGGACCAAUACUGACGCUCAGGUGCGAAAGCGUGGGGGAGCAAACAGGG